rnacentral:rRNA from 1 species
GACGAACGCUGGCGGCGUGCCUAAUACAUGCAAGUUGAGCGAUGAAGAUUGGUGCUUGCACCAAUUUGAAGAGCAGCGAACGGGUGAGUAACGCGUGGGGAAUCUGCCUUUGAGCGGGGGACAACAUUUGGAAACGAAUGCUAAUACCGCAUAACAACUUUAAACAUAAGUUUUAAGUUUGAAAGAUGCAAUUGCAUCACUCAAAGAUGAUCCCGCGUUGUAUUAGCUAGUUGGUGAGGUAAAGGCUCACCAAGGCGAUGAUACAUAGCCGACCUGAGAGGGUGAUCGGCCACAUUGGGACUGAGACACGGCCCAAACUCCUACGGGAGGCAGCAGGAGGGAAUCUUCGGCAAUGGACGAAAGUCUGACCGAGCAACGCCGCGUGAGGGAAGAAGGGUUUCGGAUCGUAAAACUCUGUUGGUAGAGAAGAACGUUGGUGAGAGUGGAAAGCUCAUCAAGUGACGGUAACUACACAGAAAGGGACGGCUAACUACGUG